GCUGGCGGCAUGCCUACACAUGCAAGUCGAACGAGACCUUCGGGUCUAGUGGCGCACGGGUGCGUAACGCGUGGGAACCUGCCUUUAGGUUCGGAAUAACUCAGAGAAAUUUGAGCUAAUACCGGAUGAUGUCUUCGGACCAAAGAUUUAUCGCCUUUAGAUGGGCCCGCGUUGGAUUAGCUAGUUGGUGGGGUAAAGGCCUACCAAGGCGACGAUCCAUAGCUGGUCUGAGAGGAUGAUCAGCCACACUGGGACUGAGACACGGCCCAGACUCCUACGGGAGGCAGCAGUGGGGAAUAUUGGACAAUGGGCGAAAGCCUGAUCCAGCAAUGCCGCGUGAGUGAUGAAGGCCUUAGGGUUGUAAAGCUCUUUUACCAGGGAUGAUAAUGACAGUACCUGGAGAAUAAGCUCCGGCUAACUCCGUGCCAGCAGCCGCGGUAAUACGGAGGGAGCUAGCGUUGUUCGGAAUUACUGGGCGUAAAGCGCACGUAGGCGGCUUUUUAAGUCAGGGGUGAAAUCCCGGGGCUCAACCCCGGAACUGCCUUUGAAACUGGGAAGCUAGAAUCUUGGAGAGGCGAGUGGAAUUCCGAGUGUAGAGGUGAAAUUCGU
rnacentral:rRNA from 1 species